rnacentral:rRNA from 1 species
AGUGAACGCUGGCGGUAGGCCUAACACAUGCAAGUCGAACGGCAGCACAGUAAGAGCUUGCUCUUACGGGUGGCGAGUGGCGGACGGGUGAGGAAUACAUCGGAAUCUACUUUUUCGUGGGGGAUAACGUAGGGAAACUUCCGCUAAUACCGCAUAUGACCUACGGGUGAAAGCAGGGGAUCUUCGGACCUUUCGCGAUUGUAUGAGCCGAUGUCGGAUUAGCUAGUUGGCGGGGUAAAGGCCCACCAAGGCGACGAUCCGUAGCUGGUCUGAGGGGAUGAUCAGCCACACUGGAACUGAGACACGGUCCAGACUCCUACGGGAGGCAGCAGUGGGGAAUAUUGGACAAUGGGCGAAAGCCUGAUCCAGCCAUACCGCGUGGGUGAAGAAGGCCUUCGGGUUGUAAAGCCCUGUUGUUGGGAAAGAAAAGCAGCAGGUUAAUACGCCGCUGUUCUGACGGUACCCAAAGAAUAAGCACCGGCUAACUUCGUG